GUCAACCGCUCCUAGCAGUUCUUCCUACGAACACCGCUGUCAACUGACCGGUCCGCGCUGUGUGAAAGUUCCAACAGCAGCAAGAGUUAAGAGUAUUUCAAAAGAGGAAACGCCGGGCCACUCCGUCGGGCCGCUACAACGCUGCACCGUCAAAGAAGGACAUCUGGGGUUAUUGAAGACGAGACAGUUGGCAGGACUGGGAGUCCUAACCGCCGAGGACUAAAGGUUCCUGGAUGAGAAGAAAAGAACCGGGCGUGUUCGCACUAAAGAACCAUGUUCAAGGUCUCCACCAAACGUGAGGAGGGCGCAUCUGAAGACAUGAGGGGACUGAACAGGAGCACCAG